CCGCCGCGGGAGGAGGAGUGAGCCAACAUGGAGGACCAGGAGAAGAUCACGUAGUGUGUUGGUGGCCAUCUUACCCACUUUUCCUAAUGUUGGACUCCGAGAAGUUACCGAUACACUUACUAGGUGGAUGUAGAAGGUGUAUGCGAAAGCUUCAAACCAAUUUGAAGCUUUCGAUGCCGUUUUAAUGGCACUAUGAACCUAGACUCGCUAACUGCUGCUUUGUCUCAUAUUGGUAAUCUGGUCGCCAGUUUGACAAAGAAAAACCUGAACUCUAGUGUCCAAGAGAUUCAGGAAGUGGUGCGUCAGUUUGGUGGAGAGGCAGAGCGACAUUUGUACCGGGUGUUGAUUGGUCACCUGGAGUGGUCUGGGUCUCAGGGAGGAGAAAGCCACCGACCUUCACCAAAUAAUAACAACAAUAACAAUAAGGACAAGGAGGCUGUAAAUAGUGCAGGUGUAGCCUCCCUCGCCUGGUCGUCCACCAACGGGGGGGCAAGUGCCCUCCUACUUCAGCAUCUGGGGGCCACUCUUCCUUCUGCUUCUUUUAUUGCCAGUCUUGCAUUUGCCAUAGCAAACCCACUCAACACUAGCAAGGUCAAGCCACAGUGGGUAAGUGGGGUGUGCAGGGCUUUGAGGCUCUCCCGCCUUCAGGAAGUCACCCUCUGUUUGUACCUGCUUCAAGAAACUAAUCAGGAAGUACGAAGUCAGUCCAUUGCCAUCCUCAAGCUUAAGCUUCCAGAUCUUGUCCGUGCUUACAUAGAUACAGAAACUGAGGACCGGGAAUUACUAGAGCUAUCAACGGAAGCUUUACAUCUAUUGUUGACACACAUUGUGCAUCUGUGGAGGGAUCCCCCAGUUGUCCUUUUACCCCAGGAGUCUUUGCAAGCCUUCAUCUCUGCUCUACAGCGAGAGUUUCCUCAGUCACGAGUACCUGUGGUUUUGGCCCCGCUGCUCUACCCUGAUUCGGAUAUUCUGAUGGAAAAGAUGACUCAGGAACAGCCAUCCAACAUGGCCAAGAAUCUACUGGACGGGUCCUUGGCAGACCUGGUGUUGGAGCUUGGCUACAGCUUCUGCAACACUGUGGAAGAAUGUCGAAACAAUUUGGUCAAUUUUGGGGUGAACUCCAUCACUCCAGCCGCUGUUGCCAAAGUGUUGGGUAUUAUGGUUCGGACUCACACUGGCCUGCCCUCAGAACAGAUUGGACUUCAGAACCUCAACACACCUAGUUCCCUGUGGAGUGACAGUAAGGACAAGGCUGCCAACAAUCAGUCACAAUCCGGUGGUAAUGAAGUGGGUGUGCCGGGCUCCAGCAGCCUCUCAGGGCCCCAUGGCUGGAACGUGGAGGUGUUCAUCAAGGCCCUGCUGGAAGUCCUGUCCAACCUGAACGUUAAGGAAAUCUUCACCAAGCUGGAUCACAAAGGAUUCUUUGUCAAGGAUAGACAAGGCUUGAAGCUUCUCAUUACUGCUUUAAGGUGUCUCCUGCAAGGCCAGGGGAUACGACCUGACUUGUUCCUAGUAGAAUGCUUCUACCGCCAGUGGAAGAACACAGAGGAGCAGCUGAGCCUUAUCACACAAAUACUCAAGAAUACUGACAUAUUCUGUCUCACGGAUUACCACUGCCACAUGGUGUCAACUGAUAGCCUUAAGACUAUGCCUGAAUUGGAUAACAAAGAGAUUGCAACCUGGAAAUCUGUGCAGUUGCUAGAAACUCUACUAUAUCUGGGCGAGGCCGGCCACUACACAGCCAUCAAGGAGCUUUUCAAGUUUCCCAUCCAGCACUGUCCAGACAUCUUGGUGUUGGGCUUGGUGCAGGUCAACUUCCCUGUCACAAUGUUGCGACAGGACCUCAUCGCUUCACUCAUCCCCAUAUUCCUUGGCAAUCAUCCCAAUGCUGCUAUCAUUCUCCACCAUGCCUGGCACACACAGAAUAACACCAACACUGUGCGCCAAAUCAUCAUGCACGCCAUGUCUGAGUGGUACAUGAUGGUGGAAAACGACCAGACAAGGUUGAGCCGCAUUCUUGAUGUGGCACAAGACCUCAAAGCCUUGUCUCUGCUUCUCAACGCCCAGUCUUUCCCUUUUGUGGUUGACUUGGCUUGCUUGGCAUACCGACGGGAGUUCCUCAAGUUGGAUAAAUGGCUGACAGACAAAAUACGGGAACACGGUGAACCCUUCAUAUCAGCCUGCAUCAAAUUUCUUCAACGACGAUGUCCCCAGCUUGUAGGAGGGAAGGAGGACAUGUUGCCAAAGUCUGCCCAGCUACCUCCAGAGACCAUGGCCACCAUCCUUGUCUGCCUCAAUGCUUGUCACAUGAAUGUGUCACAGGACCUGUCGGACACAAUAAUCCAGAUGUUCCAGAACUGCAACUUAAUGAACAGACCCAGAGCCCAGCCUGGAGUGAUUGGCUUCCCUGGUCCUGGUCCAACUCCAUCAACCGAGGGACCAAUAGGAAAUGUGGCCUCAACCUUUGGCAACUUGACCAUUGGUGGAGCCGGAGUGUCAUCUUCUAUCUUCCCCACCCCGGUCUCCUCCUCCAUCAGCUUCGGGGGCCAAGUGUCAAUCGGCACGGCUCCCGGUUCCCCAGGUCGCCCCUUAGGACCCUCCAAUGCCCCCGGAACAUCACAGUCUCCCUUGCCCACCCUAUUGCCGAAUUUGCAGCUUGGACCUGCCCUUCCUGUGGCACCAAUGGGCUCUCAGCUGUCCGCACAACCUGUCUCAUCAACAUUACCCUCUUCACUGCGGUCUCAUUCUGUCCAGCCCACCGUUGCUCCCACCAGACAGAUGGACAUGUCACAGAUAUUUGACAUGCCUCAGUCAGUAAGCAAGGAGGUCGAGGAUGAGGCCAACAGCUAUUUCCAACGAAUCUACAACCAUCCUCCACAUCCCACCCUCUCUAUUGAAGAGGUCUUAGAUAUGCUGAAAAAAUUCCAUGAGUCAUCCAAUAAGAGGGAGCGAGAAGUCUACUCCUGCAUGCUGAGGAAUCUCUUUGAAGAAUACCGCUUUUUCCCGACCUACCCAGACAAGGAACUCUUCACAACAGCGAGGCUCUUUGGUGGAAUCAUUGAGCAGGGCCUUGUUGAGUACAUGGCUCUUGGAGUGGCAUUGAGGUAUGUGAUGGAGGCUCUCCAGAAGCCACAUGGCAGCAAGAUGUACUACUUUGGUAUUGUGGCCUUAGACAGGUUUCGGAGCAGACUGAAGGAGUAUCCGAGGUACUGCCAGCACUUGAUGGCCAUUCAGCACUUCAACGAGUUUCAGCCACACUUGAUUGAGUACAUCAAGUAUGGAACACAGUCACAAGAACCUCCCACCCGACCAUCUGGAGUGGUUUUGCCUCCUUCAAUUAAUGUUUCCCCGAGUUCCGCUGUGCCGGGAACUUCGGCUUCUCUCGUAGUUGCCACAGCCCCUGUUGGAGUUCCUCAGCCCUCGGGAGUGCCUCCUGUUGUUUCAUCUGUAGGGAAAAGUUUGCCCCCGGCCACCACCACUACCACCACCAUGGCACCGGCCAUCACCAAGCCUCCCUCACUGGCAGCUACCAAUAAUGCUGUUGGCUCUGGAAAGCCAACAAUAACAACAACCAACAUAGAGACACUUCUAGUAGCCACUGAAAAAGAGGAGAAAAUUACUCCUCCUCCAGAGCAUAUUCAAGACAAAGUGGCUUUCAUUUUCAACAACCUCGCUCAAGUUAAUUUGCCCCAGAAGUGUGAGGAGCUCCGUGAAGUGGUGGGAGACGACUACUGGCUCUGGGUAGCUCAGUACCUGGUCAUGAAGAGAGCUUCCAUCGAGAACAACUUCCACACCCUGUAUUCUCUGUUUCUGGACCAACUCAAGAUGAGCUCCUUCAACUCAAUGGUUUGCCGGGAGACACUCAGAAACAUCAAGGUACUUCUAAGGGCUGAUAAGUCUGCAGCUAAUUUCUCUGACAAGUCUUUGUUGAAGAAUCUUGGACACUGGCUGGGAAUGCUCACCCUGGCCAAAAACAAGCCAAUACUCCACACAGAUAUCGACAUGAAAUCCCUGCUUAUUGAAUCCUAUAACAAAGGAUUACAGGAGAUGCAGUAUGUGAUUCCCUUCGUGGCCAAGGUGAUGGAGUCUUGUGCCAAAAGUCGUGUGUUCAAGGCCCCCAAUCCCUGGACCAUGGCCAUCAUGAAUGUUUUGGCUGAACUCCAUAAAGAACCGGAAAUGAAACUGCAUCUCAAAUUUGAGAUUGAGGUGCUCUGCAACAAGCUUGAAAUUAAUCUUGAUGAUCUGAAACCCGCCAAUGUACUGAAUGACCGGGAGCGCAUCGCCCGGCUCAAGCCUCAGCUCUCACAGCCAGGAGGGUCCAAGAGAGCAGAAUCCACUCCGCUCUUCCCUCCUAUGCAAGCCUUCUCACUGUCUUCUUUCAUACCAAAGACAAGUUGGUCUCAAGUGGCCCCUCCAGGUGUAGUUGUGGACUCCAGCACCGUUCCUGUCCAAAGCUCUCCUGUCGGUGCCACGCCCACCCCACCCACCGUGCUACCCUCCCACCCCUCCACCACCCCGACCCCCAUCCAGCCUCAACAGCCGCCUGCCUCAGAGGCACGCUUUAUAUAUUCAGACAUUAGCGUUGCCUCCCUCAGGGGCUUGGAGCCUCACAUAAAUGUCUCUGUACCUCAGUUUCCGCUCCAGGUUUGUGGUGUGACGACCAAUGUACAACUGAAGCAGCUGGUUCGUCACGCUGUUGAGUUGGCCGUCCAGGAGAUCGUCGCAGCAGUCAUUGAGCGCAGCAUCAAGAUAGCCAUCACCACUGCUGAGCACAUAAUUAAGAAAGACUUUGCCCUUGACCCCGAUGAGUCCAGGAUGCGGGCUGCCACACACCACAUGGUCCGCAACCUGACGGCAGCUAUGGCCAUGAUCACCUGCCGAGACUACCUGGCCACCAACAUCACCAAGAGCAUCAAGCAAGGACUGAUGCAGGCAUUCUCCCGGACCAAUCCUCAGCAGCUACCCCAGCCUGUGGAACAGAUGGAGCAGCUUGCCGCAGCUAUUGCUCAGGAGAAUGUGGGCAUUGCUUGUGCCUUCAUCCAGAAAAAUGCUGCUGAGAAAGCUGUGAAUGAGAUGGACAAGAGAUUGUCACAAGAGUAUGAGGCUCGUAAAGUGGCUCGCACCGAGGGACGGCGCUACUGUGACCCAAUGAUCCUCACCUACCAGGCUGAACGCAUGCCUGAGCAGAUCCGCCUGAAAGUGGGCGGCAUCACUCCCCCACAGAUGGCAGUGUACGAGGAAUUUGCCCGUAACAUCCCAGGCUUCCUCCCCAUCACCGAUCAAGACACAAUGUUCCUUCCCAAGCCAGUGCCUGUUGGCGCGCAGCAGCAACAGCAGCAGCAACAGCAGCAGCAACAACAGCAGCAGCAGCAGCAACAACAGCAGCAGCAGCAGCAGCAGCAACAACAACAGCAACAACAGCAGCAGCAACAACAGCAGCAGCAACAACAACAGCAGCAGCAGCAGCAACAACAACAGCAGCAGCAACAACAACAGCAACAAGGGCCUCACACACAGCAGCAGGCCUUUGGAAAUGAGGAAGCAACAGCUUUCCUUGUUCUAACUGAAAGGAUCAGUGCAGAGCUGGAGCACACCAUCCAGACCUUCAACACACUGGCCCCAAGCUCUCCGCUGCUGCCCAUGCUUCAUGCGCUGCGGGAGGGGCUGCUCCUCACACGGACCAACAGGGACGUCCACGCUGCCCAAGUCCUGCUCAGAAAGUGUGUGGACAAUCUGAUCGAGGGAGCGCGAGAGCUGCCCAGCGAACCAGAACUCAGCCAACUGGCACUGCGCUUCAGAGACUGCCACCUCAUUGUUCUCAAGGCCAUGGCUGACCACCGCUGCUACGGUGUGGUCUGGACCUCCAAGAAUAUUACAAAGUGCUGGACAGAGGCUCGGGAUGACGUGAAGUACAACCUGGACGUGGUGGACUGGCUCAUCCGCUCCAACCUGCUCAACCUGCAGAUGCUGGAUGAACACCUUGCUCGCACCCUGGACGAUCCCCGCGUCCACUCCUUCUUCCUUCCUUCCAUCUUUGUGAUGCAGCUAGUUCAGAUGUAUCUUAUAGAUGACCCUAGUAGCAGUGUCCUAAGUGAGACAGAUUUACAACUAACACUCGAGGCUUUGGUACGCCUGUGUCACUCCAGGCAGGGUCCUGAAGGCCUCAUUGCCCUCAUUGAAGCUCUACGCAUGAAGCACGACUUGCUGAGUGGAGAGCGCAUAGCUGGGAGCAACAGUCUGAGCAGCCUGAACAACCCUAUCUCUGCCGGGCCAAGUCUUCACUUCCACUCUGGAGUGACACAAGCCAGAGACUUCCAGGACCCACCAGCACUGCAGGAGAAGACGGAGGUGCUGCUGCGGGAGUGGAUCACCAUGUACCACUCUCCCUCGGCUGGCCAAGGAUCUGCAUCAGCCUUCCAGCAUUUUGUCAAGCAGAUGAAUCUUCAUGGAAUUCUGAAGACAGAUGAUCUCAUUACUAGAUUUUUUAGGAUAUGCAUCAGUAUGUGUCGCGACCUCUGUGUACGUUCCAUCCUGGAGCAGGGGCAGGGCCCCUCGCCCACCUAUGUACGCAGCAAGUGCUUCCAGAACCUCGAUGCAUUUGUGCGGCUCAUUGCCUUAUUAGUCAAGCACUCGGGAGAAGCCACCAACCCCACGACAAAGAUAAACUUACUUAACAAGGUGUUGGGCCUUGUCUGUGGGAUCAUGAUUCAUGACAUAGAAUCCAACACAACAGACUUUCAGCAGCUGCCAUAUCAUCGCAUUCUCAUUAUGCUCUUCCUUGAACUGAACGCCCCGGAGGCAAUCCUUGAGUCAAUCAAUCUUCCGGUAUGUGAAAGGCAUGAUGUGUGCUCCUGGCAGGUGCUGAUGGCUUUCACCCAGACCCUGCACCUGCUGCGGCCCAGCAAGUGUCCUGGGUUUGCCUACGCUUGGCUGGAAAUUGUCAGCCAUAGGGUGUUUAUAGGUCGCAUGUUGGCCAUCACUCCACAACAAAAGGGAUGGUCAAUGUACUCAAUGCUGUUAGCAGAUCUGUUCAAGUUUUUGGCUCCUUUCCUAAGGAAUGCAGAGCUGGCAAAACCCCUCACCAUGUUAUACAAGGGAACUUUGCGUGUGCUGUUGGUGCUGUUGCACGACUUCCCAGAGUUCUUGUGUGAGUACCACUACGGUUUCUGUGAUGUCAUCCCUCCAAACUGCAUUCAGAUGCGGAACCUCAUCCUCUCUGCCUUCCCUCGAAACAUGCGCCUUCCAGAUCCCUUCACACCAAACCUCAAAGUUGACAUGUUACCAGAGAUUACAGUAUCACCCAAAAUCCACACCACCGUGGCUAAUCUCAUCCAGCCCCCGGACUUUAAGAAGAACUUGGAUUCCUACUUGAAGAACAGGACACCAGUCACAUUUCUCUCUGACAUGAGAACAUACUUGCAGCAGGUCUCCAGCGAGCCUGGGAUGCGCUACAACAUGUCGGUGAUGAACUCCUUGGUGUUGUACGUUGGCAUGCAAGCCAUCGCUCAGAUCCACAGCAAGGGCCUCACUCCUUCUAUGUCCACCAUUGCACACUCUGCCCACAUGGACAUCUUUCAGAACCUUGGAGUGGACUUGGAUACAGAAGGCCGCUACCUGUUCCUUAACGCAAUCGCCAAUCAGCUGCGCUACCCCAACAGUCACACCCACUACUUCAGUUGCACACUCCUUCACCUCUUCGCCGAGGCCAACACUGAGGCCAUCCAGGAGCAGAUCACGCGAGUCUUGCUGGAGCGGCUGAUAGUGAACCGUCCUCACCCCUGGGGACUGCUCAUCACUUUCAUUGAGCUCAUCAAGAAUCCAUCGUUCAAGUUCUGGAGCCACGAGUUUGUGAAGUGUGCUCCAGAGAUUGAAAAUGCAGUGAAUGGGAGUUACUUGCAAGGGAGGUGCUCCACACACACAAGGCAGUAGAGGAUAGGAGGGAAGAGAGGCGAAGAGACGGAAGGAGGAGGAAAGAAGUGGAGGGAGGGAGAUGGAGGCAUGAGGCAGGUUGUUUGAAUCUGUGGCUCGGUCCUGCAUGGUCCAGAAAGUGUCUGCUCCCAGGGAGGGCGAGGCCUGACCACAGGUCCUGCACACAUACUGCUCCUCGCAGGACACCUGACCACACGCAUCUCACCCUGUGCAGGCAGCAGUAGAAGCUUUGUAUUUUAGAAUGCAAGACUUAAGGUUAUAUGGUAUAGGACUGUGUUGAUAUGGGCUGUUGUUGCUCCAUGUGGGAGCCGGGAAAGUCAUUGUGACUUGCGGUGCUUGGCUAAAAGCUAUGUUAUAUAGAUGAUAAUGUGUGAUGACGUGAAUUUCUAAUAUAUACGUAUACAUACAUAUAUAUAUAUGUAAAUAUGUAUCAAUUCCUCGCUGAUAAUGGCUGUAAGACUUAGUUCUUUGAGGAAGCAAGGGCCAGGUGCAGAUCAAGACAGUUAGGUAUAUAUCAUGGGGAGUGUCAAAGAGAAGCUUAGGUGGUAGGACUUCAUGACGAAUAAGUGACCCAGGUGAUGCUUAACAAUAACAAUGUUACACACUUAGAGAAUUUCCAGUUAUUUUUUUGAAGAAGGCAAUAUGUUGCUACAAAACUUAUUUAUGACAAAACAGAGUUGUCAUUACAUCAAUAACAUUUAUGCUUUAUUUAGUGAUUGCAGUAUUUGAAGUUGCACAAGUGCUGCUGAGGUGUAUGAUAAUCUUAAGACAAUUAUUUGAGGGUAAAAUGGAAAUGAGUUAUGUUGGUAACUGUUAAACUACUUGUAUCAAUAGAAGACCAAUAACUGUAACCUACACUAGUAAGGACCUUCAGAGUGAAGUAAAAGUGCAUCUUAAAGGUUGUAAGUUUGCCGAGGAGUCUGUAAUGACCGAUAUGAGUAAGACAAAGUAGCCAUAAACAGUGUGCCAGAGUGCAAAGAGAAAAGAUAGUAAUUCCAUUGAGUGAUAUGUACCUAUUUCCAUGUGAUCUUAACUUCCAGGGAAUUAUGUGAUGAGAUAUACCUAAGAUAUUUAGAUAUUAUGUGAUGUAGAUUUCUAUAUGAUGAUGAUGGCCUUUGCCAGGAGCUUCUGCAGUAAGGAAGUGAGAAUCAAAGGAUCUUAGUUAUUCACAAAGUGUUUGGUGUGUUUCUCCUUCAGCCUCCAAGGAUACAGGUGUGUGGCAAGGACUGCUGAGUGCCACCAGCAACUGAUGUUACCAAAGAGUUGAACAUGCCUUCAGCUUGACUGGUUCUCAGAGGCAUGGCAUCAUCCAUCUCUUGUGAUAGCACUUCAUACCAUAUGCAAAAGUAAUCAUGGGCGCAAAGCAUGUACAAACUCCCACCCUCCUUCUUACUUAGGUUCAUAAUAUUCUUGAAAGGCUGUCUAGUAGUUAAUGUAAGUAGUAUUAUCAUGUAGAAAAUAAGGUGCCCUUAUAUCCUGAGGCUUUUCAUCCUGCUGUAAAGUGUCUUCUCGGAGGGUGUCGGUGGUCACGGAGGUGAAGGAGUGGGGCCGGGAGGACAGCGCUGCCAUGGCCGCUUGCACUUGUGUUCUCUCAAGGGCAGUGCGGAGCCCAGUCUCGGUAACUGCAUCCUGAAGAUGGUGUAUUGAAGCACAAAUUGUGUGUUAAAUGUAAGAGCUCCACUUCCAGGUCAGGAAAUGGUGUAUUAAUUGGGCAGAAGCUUUGUGUUAGUCUCAAGGCUGGCAGGGAAAUGUGUGUGUCUCACAGCAGCAGCAGUCCCCCCACACCUGGCAGCAACACUCCUCUUCACUUACCUCGCUUGGAGGACUGCCUCAGCUCUCUCACGGCCAAGAAAUACAAAUCUAGUAUUGUUAACAAAAAUCAAUCAUCAGUUUGUAUGAAAUUGUAUAGUAGAGUUGUUGAGGGACUUGAGAGGAGGUAUUAGCUGGACCUCCUGUGAAUGUACAGUUCAAGUUUAUUUUUGUUGAUAAAAACUUCGUCGUCUCAAGAUGUGCAGUUGAACAGUUUGUGUCAUAUUCUUUAGUCCACUGUAGGUUAAGGAUGUGAAUAAAGGUCUUCUUGUAGCAAAGCACA